rnacentral:rRNA from 1 species
AUGCUUCCUCCGCCUCCCUCCAUCGCCGCCGCGAAGGCAGCCAUCACCGGUGGCACGGCGGGAGGAGGGCGCUGCACGAGCCGUUGUUCCCUCUCAAGAGCGCGCCGGCGCUGCCUCCGCCGCCCCCCACGCCCUUCUUCCCGUUCCUGCCCGACGCGGCGCCUCCUCAGCCGCCUAUGGUGGCCAACCCCGCGCGCCGCCGGCGUCGGCGAUGUGCAUGCCGGCGGCGACCCGUCGUCCUCCUCGCUGCCGAACCCCACGGCGCCGGCCAACAUGUCCUCCCUGUCUCUGCCGGUGCCCCGAAGCGCACCGGCGCCGCUCCGCCCGUUCCUGUCCUCCCACCGCCUCCUCACCAUCCCCCUCCUCGUCGCCACCGUGGCCUCCGCCGUGCUGGCCGCCGCGCUCGUCUACCUCCUCGCCCGCCACCGCCGCGGGCGACCAGAGCCUGAACCCGAAGCGUAUGAAAAGCCUGCCUUGCCUAAGCCUUCGCCGGCCAAGCCCGCACUCCACGACGACGACCAACACCCCCUACGGCUAGAUACAGGAAAAUGGUAG